UACGGAGGGUGCAAGCGUUAUCCGGAUUCACUGGGUUUAAAGGGUGCGUAGGUGGGUUGGUAAGUCACUUGUGAAAUCUCCGAGCUUAACUCGGAACGGCCAAGUGAUACUGCAGUACUAGAGUGCGGAAGGGGCAAUCGGAAUUCUUGGUGUAGCGGUGAAAUGCGUAGAUAUCAAGAGGAACACCUGAGGUGAAGACGGGUUGCUGGGCCGACACUGACGCUGAUGCGCGAAAGCCAGGGGAGCAAACGGG
rnacentral:rRNA from 1 species